UACGUAGGGGGCAAGCGUUGUCCGGAAUCAUUGGGCGUAAAGCGCGUGUAGGCGGCCCAGUAAGUCCGCUCUGAAAGCCUGGGGCUUAACCCCGGGAGGCGGGUGGAUACUGCUGGGCUCGAGUCCGGAAGAGGCGAGUGGAAUUCCCGGUGUAGCGGUGAAAUGCGCAGAUAUCGGGAGGAACACCAAUGGCGAAGGCAGCUCGCUGGGACGUGACUGACGCUGAGACGCGAAAGCGUGGGGAGCAAACAGG
rnacentral:rRNA from 1 species